rnacentral:rRNA from 1 species
GACGAACGCUGGCGGCGUGCUUAACACAUGCAAGUCGAACGAAGUGGCGAACGGGUGAGUAACGCGUAAUCAACCUGCCCUUCAGAGGGGGACAACAGUUGGAAACGACUGCUAAUACCGACUACUGAAGGAGGGGAUUGCUUCUGAUGUGCUAGUUGGAGGGGUAACGGCCCACCAAGGCGAUGAUCAGUAGCCGGUCUAGGAGGAUGAUCGGCCACGUUGGGACUGAGACACGGCCCAGACUCCUACGGGAGGCAGCAGUGGGGAAUCGUCCGCAAUGGACGAAAGUCUGACGGAGCAACGCCGCGGGAGUGAUGACGGCCUUCGGGUUGUAAAGCUCUGUUAAUCGGGACGCGGUACCGGAAUAGAAAGCCACGGCUAACUACGUGCCAGCAGCCGCGGUAAUAC